UACGUAGGGUGCAAGCGUUGUCCGGAAUUAUUGGGCGUAAAGAGCUCGUAGGCGGUUUGUCGCGUCGGCUGUGAAACCUCGGGGCUCAACCCCGAGCCUGCAGUCGAUACGGGCAAACUAGAGUGUGGUAGGGGAGACUGGAAUUCCUGGUGUAGCGGUGAAAUGCGCAGAUAUCAGGAGGAACACCGGCGGCGAAGGCGGGUCUCUGGGCCGUAACUGACGCUGAGGAGCGAAAGCAUGGGGAGCGAACAGG
rnacentral:rRNA from 1 species